AUGGAUGUUUUUAUGGCGGUGUCUACCAUGCAGUUGGUACUAGUUUCCCUGACAUUUACAGCUGUAACACCUGCUUCUGCUCUGCAGGAAAUAUCGUAGGCUGCACGAAAAUAUACUGUCCCCGAUGUUGGUAUAACGGACAGAAGUACAAGCCUGGGGACAGUUUUAAAUCCACUGAUGGAUGCAACAAGUGCUGGUGCACAUCAGACGGAACUGUGGGUUGCACGAAAAGGGCAUGCUUAAAGCAUACAUUAUCUUAGAUGGGGCCAAGAUUUGCGAGUUUUUCCUGCCGCAUUAGAAUGAGCAAGAUGUGUGAAACACGUAAAGUUGCAUUCUCGUAUAUAGACUAAAGGAAAGCUGUACAGAAACAGUUCCACUUUGAUGAAUGGUGCUGUGUAAGAGAAGCGUUUUUCCGACUCGCGGUGUUCGAGUAAAUGAAGUCACAAAGUAUAAGAUCAUAAAACCCUGACACGUUCAUUGUUAUAAGAAAUGUUUUCUGGUAAUACUUUUCUUUGCGGGAAACGGUAAUGUAACCAUUAUGGUAAGAAAAUUAAACAACUGUCCACAAGAAAUGCCACAUCAUGCUUUCUUAAGCUGUUCGCAGCAAUACUUACUGUAUAUGCUGUUAAAAUAAAGCGACAAGAAUGUC